UUAAAAGGGUUUCAAUAGAAAAUUUAUAUAUAUUUAUUUACACAUAUAUGUGUUUGUCUAUGCUUCUCACACAGUACUGUGCUUGAUAGAAUUUUCUAAGGAGAUGCGGUACUGUUGAACUCAGAUAUUUAAUUUAUAGUUAUAUACAGGCUAUUUACAUUUCCAGUUAAAUACAUAGAAUGUUUAUUUAACUUCUUAUUUGCAGCUGUUAAGACGAGAGCUAAAACAAUUUUGAUAAGAUUCAUAGUCUCUUCUGUAAAGAAAGAUUUCAUUUAUGAUAGCAUUUAUAAUAAUUUCUGCUGGAAAUCAAAGGCAUGUUACAAGAAGAAAAAUAUAGGAUACUUUAAAUAGUAUGACUUUAUAAAUUAUAUAUCAUGAGACUAGGCUUUUGGCAAGACACUUAAAACCUACAGCUGUACAAUGCCAGGGUUACAUGGUGUCUGUAAUGCUGACCACAGUGGCCAACCCUUUAUUAGUCUGUUAUUUAGGGGACUGGGUGUGCUCUUCUUAUUGUAGUGGAAGUUAUAUAGUUGAAUAUAAAAAGUUUUUUGGUAUUAUAUUACUAAAAAAACAGGGUAGUUCUGUUAAAGAUUACCAAGUUGAUCAUGAAUUCAUCAGAUAAACACUGUUUUGUGCUUCAGAUGGUUCUCAGAAUCAGGUAACAGGGUAUUCCACUUUUUCAUAGCAACUGACCAGGAUAAUGCACCAUAAUUGAUAUACUAACCAGCUGUGCCUGCUUUCGAGGACCCCAUAGUCACUAUAAUCUUUAAGCCAAAUCAUUAAAAAUACAGAGAGGAGAGAGAGAUUUUAAAAUAUUUGCCAGUAAAACAAAUGUUAUAUCUCGUAAGUAUAGAAUAUGACCACACCUUUAAACAUUUCAGUGCAAACUUUAAUUUCUUGGAUCUGUUACUUGAAGAAUUAAUUUGAUUAGAUUUGAAUGCAAAGAGGACUGGACCAGCUUAGGCCUAGUGAUAAGUUUAUUGGAUCAAGACUAAGAAAUACUUUACUUUUUUAUAUAUUCAAAAUAUGACUACUCUUUUCAAGUAUACCACUUAAAAUGCUCCAUAUGUGUUUUCAUUAAUCUUCAUUGGCCCUUGUAAAAAAAGUUUUUAACUUUUUAAAGAUUUAUAGUAUUUACAUCCAUGAGAAACUGUGCCAAAUGAAGUAAAAAUGUGUCAUAAAGAUGAUUUCAAUUGCAACAUUCAUGUAAAUACUAAGGAAAAAGAAAAGGUCCAUUUCUAAAUUUAGUAUGUUUUGUCUGAAUUUGAAUUAGUUAAUCUGCACAAUCAUGUUUGUUUUAUAUUUAUAAGUACUUGACUCACUGGCCCUUUUUGUUUUAAACUGUAAGUUUCAUUUUAAAAGGUUAUUCUCACUAAUUUUUAGUGUCAUUUGUUCACUUACUGGUAACACCAGAACAAAGAAAUUAAAAAGUAAUAAAAUCUGCUGGCACAGAAAUAAUAUAUCCUUUGGUAACAUAAAACCAUUUGCAGUUAAAAAUUGAUUUAUUGGGUAAAGAACUAAACGCACUUAUUACCUCUACCUUUGUUUCUUCUCUUACAAAGGAGCACUGUGAAAAAAGUAAAUAUAAAAAAAAUUGUAGUGGAGUUUUGUUGGUAUUCUAAGUUCAGCAAUCUACUGGUUACUUAAUUGUGAAACUGUGAAACCAAAUUGUUAACCUAUAUUAUUUUAGUUCAUAGCAUUACUAUUUUAUGAAAUGUGACACGUUAGGAACCAAUAUAAGACUCUGGAAGGGUAAUAUGCCUUUAAAUCCUGACUGAGGGGAGGAUAUUCUUAGCUAACUAAACCAACACUUGAGCAGUAUGCAGUAUUAUGAAAUGUUACAACAAUAUGUUAAAAAUAAUAAAAUGCUAUUUUACAAUU
ensembl:lncRNA